AAAGUCGUAACAAGGUCUCCGUUGGUGAACCAGCGGAGGGAUCAUUAGAGAGUUGCAAAACUCCCUCAAACCAUCGUGAACCUACCUCUGAACAGUUGCUUCGGCAGGCCGGCCCUCCCCGGGGGGUCGCCAAAGGCCUGCCGAAGGUACCCAAACCAUUGUUUUUACAGGCCUCUCUGAGUAUCGCACUUAAUAAUUAAAACUUUCAACAACGGAUCUCUUGGCUCUG
rnacentral:misc_RNA from 1 species